rnacentral:sRNA from 1 species
AAAAAUUUGAAUUUAUUCUAAUGGAUUUUUUUUAAAUGAUAGGAUAGAGUACAUAUACAAUAUAUGCAUUGUUAAUGGAUUUCUCUGGUAUCAUGUGGGCUAUAACUGAAUCAUGAAAAGUAAAGCCCAUUAAGUCCAUUUUUUUUAGUUACAUUAAUGCAAUCUUGUUACAGUUUGCAAUAUUUGUGUAGAAGAAUGUUCAAAAUAGACUGUCCUCUGCAUGUACCAAUCCCCUCUGUCCUGUGUACAAAUGUACUUGUAAUUGACAGCAAACCUCUCUACCUAAACUGUUUACGCAUGCAAAGAAAGUUCCAGUUUCGGAUUAUUAAUAUAUACAUGUAUUACUGCUCCAAUGUUUUCUGUACAUGCAUCAUUUUCCACAAUUUCCAUUUUGAUUUCUGUCAAAUCAAUCAGAAUGUAGUAAUCACUCAUUUAAAUGAAAGCAUUGGAAACAUUUCAUUUAUUCAUCCUCUUGAUGAAAUUUUUAUUUUCAAAUAAUUGUUACGCAAUGAAAUUAAUUGAAGAUUACUGAAUUGAUAGAGCUAUAUAUAUCUAUAUAUAUAUAGAACUAGUUUGCAGAGAAUGUACAGGGCAUUUUCAUUACUACCUCGUCAAUAAAUUUAGGCUGCUUAAAUUUGAGAUUUGUUAGCACGAAAAUUUUUAAGUAAAGGGGUUACAUGUAUCAAUCUAGAAACAUUGAAUUUCAAUGGAACUGUAUCUUGCAAUCAACAGACUGGUAGCUUAUAUUAAUAGCCUCACAUCAGACCAAAUCCAUUCAGUAUGCAUUUGUGACUAGAGUUUGUCUCAAAACAUGAACAAUGUAUUGUAUGAUAUAUAAAAUACACUAUAUAUAUAUAUUUGACAAGUAAAAAAAAAUUGAUACAAUUU